rnacentral:lncRNA from 1 species
AAUCCUCGGAACUAUGGUAAGGAGCAGCAUGGGUAUCAGCCAUAUGCUCCAUCGAUGCCAUUGAACCAAGUACAACCGGGACAACCAGGAUCGUUUUCUCAACCUACAUGGAACAAACCUAGUAGGUAUAUACCAGUGGAGACACCCAAUAUGCCUGAUGGGGGUGCAAAAAGGCCAUUGCGUUGUUUCCGUUGUAGACAGAUUGGUCA